UACGUAGGGGGCAAGCGUUGUCCGGAUUUAUUGGGCGUAAAGAGCGUGUAGGCGGUUUGGUAGGUCCGCUGUGAAAACUCGAGCUCAACCUCGAGACGCCGGUGGAAACCAUCAGACUAGAGUCCGGAAGAGGAGAGUGGAAUUCCUGGUGUAGCGGUGAAAUGCGCAGAUAUCAGGAAGAACACCCGUGGCUAAGGCGGCUCUCUAGUACGGUACUGACGCUGAGACGGCGAAAGCGUGGGGGAGCGAACAGG
rnacentral:rRNA from 1 species